UGUGUUUGUUGUGUUGCUUUGUGUUGUGUUGUACCUGCCAGUACCCAGCUCUCCAGGGCCAACUUUUUUUAGAGGGCAGAGAUGUGGUUCAAAUAUGCCCAUUGUUUCCAUUGGGAACCAGUCUGAGAGCAUCCCCCUGGGCUCUGGGUAGUGCAAAUCACUGCAAACAAGGAGCAGCUGGAACUGGUAGCUCCUGCCUGGCGUGUCCCCAAGCUCUCCAAGAGAAGAAAAGGCUCUAAACCAACUGCAAUCUGUUACUUUGGAGCUAUUGAAGGCAAAAAGCAAAGAAGAGCCUGUCAUGCCAUAGCUUCCCAUAGAGGGCAGAGAUGCAGGGACACAGUGAUGCCGUAAGUCUGCGUGUCCCCAAGUUAUAGGAGGUGGGGCCACCAGCUUUGCCCCCUGAGAUCCAUCUGCCAUUGGGUCCAUGAUAGACUAGCCCAUUGAGCUGUACCUGCUGAGGUUUUGUUCAUUCUUCUCUGAUUCUACCCUAAAAUGAGCUGGUCUGAUGGAAACACUCAGAAUCAGGACAGGGCAGACCCCAAGCAGAGCCCCUUACCAAACCUCAACAAGCAACAGGAUUCUCUAACCCUCACUGCCAUCAGAGAUCCCUUCUCUUAACUGAUUACAGGAUCCCUUUUAAAAUACUUUGAAUGAGGCUCAACCACCAGGUCCCCAGGCACCCGUUAGAUGGCAGCUAUAGUCCACCCAGGCUGGAUGGGGCUUUGAGCAACUUGAUCUAGAGCGAGGUAUCCCUGCCUAUAGCAGGGGGUCGGAGCUAGAUGAUCUUAAAGGCCCCUUCAAAUCCAAUCCAUUCUAUGAUGCUAUGAUUUUGAGUGUGAGCUCUUACUCCUGGCCCAAGGUGACAGGCUCACGCAGUUCCUUUCUGAGCAUUGCCAGCUCUCGAUAGAGUCCGACAAUCUCAUAAGACAUGUCCACAAGGGGCCUCAGGAGGUCAUCUGGUCCAGGGCCACUCCACAGUAGGAUCAGCUCCUCUUUUUUAACUUCUAUUUGUAUUUAUUUUUUAGCUCUCACACAUAUGGUCUGGUUUUUGGGCAGUCCUGUGUGGAGGCAGGAGUUGGACUCGUGGUCCUCACAUUUCUCUUCCGACUGGGGUUAUGCUAUGACUCUAUGGUUAUGUUAUCCAGUUGUGCCACCAGGAGAAAAAAAAAAAAAGAGGAAACUUCAAUAAAA
ensembl:lncRNA